GGACAGGUUAUUAAGAGCCUAUGGUGGAUGCCUUGACACAAAGAGGCGAUGAAGGACGCGGCGUGGCUGCGAUAAGCCUCGGGGAGGUGCUUAGCAACCUUUGAUCCGGGGAUUUCCGAAUGGGGCAACCCGUCUCGCAAUUCAAUGCGGGACAUCUUUCGAGUAACGUCGGAAGAAGCGAACCCGGGGAAGUGAAACAUCUCAGUACCCGGAGGAAAAGAAAAAACAUCAGCUUUUAGCUUUUAGCUCAUAGCUUUCGGGGUUUUCCCCGUCGGCUAAUGGCUAUAAGCUAUAAGCUGAAUUAUUCCCUUAGUAGCGGCGAGCGAAAAGGGAAGAGCCUAAACCCGUUGCGCGACGCGCAAGCGAAGCGCGGCGGGGGUUGCAAGGCAAUGACGUUUGAGGUUUAAGUCGCAAGAUUUGAUUUUCAAGAGAGUUAAAAAACAAAACGGUUAAUUAAACGUCCCUGGAAAGGGCGACCAAAGAGGGUAAUAGUCCCGUAAAUGAAAAUUGUUUUGUCUCUCAGUCAUUGUUCUUAAGUACCGCGGGGAACGACAGCCCCGUGGGAAGCCGGGAUGACUAUAAUCCCAAGGCUAAAUACUCUUUGUGAUCGAUAGUGAACUAGUACCGUGAGGGAAAGGUUAAAAGAACCCCGGUGAGGGGAGUGAAAUAGAACCUGAAACCAUAAGGCUUACAAAGAGUCGGAGUCCCUCCGCCCGCAAGGGCGUUUGGGAUGACGGCGUGCUUUUUGCAGAACGAGCCAACGAGUGUAUGUGCGUUGCGUGCUUAAGUCGCUUAAAAAACGACGAAAGCAAAGGGAAACCGAGUCUUAAAUGGGCGAUUUGUAGCGCAUAUACGACCCGAAGCCAAGCGAGCUACCCCUGGCCAGGAUGAAUCACGGGUAAUACUGUGAGGAGGUCCGAACCGGUGAGUCGUGCAACGCUCUCGGAUGAGCUGGGGGUUGUAGUGAAAAGCUAAUCGAGCUUGGUAAUAGCUGGUUCUCUCCGAAAUAGCUUUAGGGCUAGCCUCUGAGUUCCCGUUUUUGGAGGUAGAGCACUGGAUGGAUUGAGAUGCGAAAGCUACUUAGUCCAAUCAAACUCCGAAUUCCGAAAACAAAUGCUCAGGGAGUAAGUCUAAGGGGGCGAAGCUCCUUAGACAAAAGGGAAAAAGCCCAGACCAUCAUCUAAGGUCCCUAAAUUCGAGCUAAGUGUAAAGGAAGUGGCCCGCCAGAGACAGGUAGGAGGUUGGCUUAGAGGUAGCCAUCCUUUAAAGAGUGUGUAACAACUCACUACCAUAUGGCGGACUGCGCCAAAGAUGUAUAGGGGCUAAGCUCGGUACCGAAGAUAUGGAUGUAUUUCGCGCAAGCGAAGUACGUGGUAGGAGAGCGUUCUUUAUGCAGUGAAGCAGAACCGGAAGGUUCUGUGGAGCGUAAAGAAGUGAGAAUGUUGGCAUGAGUAACCGCAAGUCCGGUGAAAAACCGGACCACCGAUAACCUAAGGUUUCCUUGGCAAUGUAAAUCAGCCAAGGGUUAGGCGGGCCUAAGGCGAUGCCGAAAGGCGAAGCUGACGGACAGCCGGUUAAUAUUCCGGCCCCGCCUUCAAUCUAUCCCGCAGCAAUGCGGGAUAAAAUGGGGUGACGUAAUUUGAAGGUUGAGGCGCGUUAUUGGAUUCGCGUUCUUGGUUUUUGAUGGAUUUUCCAGGCAAAUCCGGAAAGUCGUUAACAUCGGAGAUUGAGAAAAUUUUUGAGCAAUCAAGAAAAUUUCAGCCAAUCGGUUACCUAGAAAACCCUCGUUAUUCCGGUGUUUUUGCUUUUUCGGAGCAAUCCGUAUUGGCGAAUGCCGGUGAUUGGAGGCGACCGUACCACAAUCCGACACAGGUAGGUUGGGCGAGAAGCCCGAGGUGAACGGGUGAUUCCUCGUUAAGGAACUCGGCAAAAAAGCUAGACGUAAGUUCGCAAUAUGUCUUCCCCGCUUAGGCGGGGCGCAGCUAAAGUACCCCUAGCGACUGUUUAUCAAAAACACAGCUCCCUGCUAACUCGCAAGAGGAUGUAUAGGGGGUGACGCCUGUCCAGUGCUGGAAGGUUAACGGUAGAUGUCUCUUUGUAUUUGAGAUUAUAUCAAUGACGCGGAGAGGCUGAUGCCCGAAGCCCCAGUGAACGACAGCGAUAACUAUAAUCGUUCUAAGGUACCGAAAUCCCUUGGCAUGUAAGUUAUGUCCCGCAGGAAUGGCGCAACGACUGGGGGACUGUCUCAACGAGGAGCCCGGUGAAAAUGCAGUGGUGGUGAAGAUGCCCCCUACCUGCGGCAAGACGAAAAGACCCCGGAAGCUUUACUGCAACUUGAUAUUGGCUUAAGGUUCUGGAUGCGUAGAAUAGGUGGGAGGCUUUGAAGUUCGCCUUUCGGGGCGGAUGGAGCCGUCAGUGAAAUACCACUCUUUCAGGACUUUAAAUCUAACCCCGAUGAUGAAAACGCCGGGGGACAGUGUCUGGCGGGCAGUUUUGGUGGGGCGCUAUCCUCCUAAAAUGUAACGGAGGAGUUUAUUAAGGUCGGCUAACUCCGGAUGGAAAUCGGAGUGAUAGGGUAAAGCCAUAAGCCGGCUUGACUGCAAGGCGUAUAUGCCGCGCAGCUACGAAAGUAUAACUUAGUGAACCGAUGGUUCUUUGUAGAAAGGCCAGAGAUUAUCAGACAAAAGCUACUCCGGGGAUAACAGGCUAGUCGCAUCCAAGAGUCCAUAUCGACGAUGCGGUUCGGCACCUCGAUGUCGGCUCAUCUUAUCCUGGGGCUGGAGAAGGUCCCAAGGGUUUGGCUGUUCGCCAAUUAAAAAGAUACGUGAGCUGGGUUCAAACCGUCGUGAGACAGGUUGGUCUCUAUCUGCCGCAGGCGUUGAUGCUUGAGGGAAGUCGCUCCUAGUACGAGAGGACCGGAGUGAACGAACCUCUGGUGUACGAGCUGUCCCGCCCGGGGCAUUGCUCGGUAGCUAUGUUCGGAAGGGAUAAGCGCUGAAAGCAUAUAAGCGCGAAGCCCCUCCCAAGAUUAGGCAUCGUUUAGAUCCGUGGGAGAUGACCACGUUGAUAGGCUGCAGGUGUAAGUCCGGCAACGGAUUAAGCCAAGCAGUACUAAUAGAUCGAAAUCUGUCCCG
rfam:Parcubacteria (Azambacteria) bacterium GW2011_GWC1_46_13 TX33_C0004, whole genome shotgun sequence.